UAUAUAUUUACCCAGUGAUAAAAAAGCCCAAACUUAACCAAAAAACCCCUUUUGUAUCGUCGUCUUCCUGAAGUUAAAAACCCAGGCCCAGUACUCACUGAGACGACUCGCAUAGUAACCCCGAAAAUCACCCUAAAUGAACAAAACCUACACAGGAAGAAAACCCACGAAAAAAUAUAAAAAUAAAUCCAUUUUUCUUAUUUUGAGUGCCAAAACGAACAAAAUUUACAUGAAGGACUUUUAAUAGAGGGACUCGACAACGUGCCCAUGGCUUGCAUUUGCAGGGAGGUGUCGUAUUUUAGGAUCAUUUCAUGUCGUUUUGAUUGAGGGCAGGACGUUGAGGAAGAGUUCGAAGCUUAAAAAAAGAAAAAGCCUUGGACAGAGAUAAGGAGAAGAAACGAGAGUAUUAAAAAUAGGGCAAACGUUUUGCUAUGCCCUAUCUCUCAAUUUUUUGACUCAGUUUCCUCAUUCAGGUAUUACCAACACUCUUCUUUUUUUGCAUCGAUGGGAAGCCCCAGCCUGUAGAUAUUUAGGUAGGGAUGCAUGGAUGUAAUUCAGGACCUGCAGUCUUAGUAAUUGCUGAGAUAGGAUCCAUGGGACGGGUGGUUGAUGGUGGAGUUGGGAUUGAUGUCAAAACUUCUCCAUGCAGAGGAGCUAUUGAGAAAGCUCAAGCAGAGCUUAGGCAGGAGUAUGAUGUUCGAGAGGAAAGGAGAAAAGAGCUAGAGUUUCUUGAGAAAGGUGGCAAUCCCUUGGAUUUCAAAUUUGGCAAUGCAGCUUCAGUUAGUGUCCAGUCUAUUUCUUUCACCGAUCAACAAGCAGAACUUCUUACCUGUGAAGCAAAAGGUAGUUUCACACCAACUAUUUCACCUCAUGGUGAUUCCAUAGAGAGUAGUGGUAGACCACCGGUUCCUGCAAUUUGUGAACCUAAUAGUGCUGAUAAUCUCUUGCUUUUUGAUGGUGAAAAUGAGUUACCUGGAUGUGAAAGGAAGUCUAUGCAUCAUAAGAGGAAUAAUGUUGUUCCAUCAGAGCAAUCUUCUCAGAUAAAUGGGACUCGAAAUGCUAAGGAAUCAGAAGAUUCAGCUAUUUUUCGCCCAUAUGCUCGAAGGAACAGGUCCAAAAAAAAUCGAGAUGGAGUUCGAUCAUGUUCAACAGAUAUGGUUCAGGGUCAAGGUGGUCAUGGUUCUUUAUCUGCGCGUAUAGCAUCAAAGGACUUGAAGGCUUCAACAUGUGAAAAAAAUGACCAGAAGGACAAGAACAUACCUUACACAGAUACUCCAAAAUCUGCUAUUUCAAACGGUGAUUUGGCUUCGAGGAUGAUAAGUUCUGAUAAUCUGUCGAAUAUGAAGUGUGGGCUGGCUGUGGAGGAAACUACUGACCAGUCAAAAUGUUAUCUAUCUGAAAGCAAGGUUGAUGUUACAGCUUCCAAAAGCUUCAUAGAUGACUUGCCUAAUGAACCUGCCCAAUUGGUGGCUAAUGGAUCUACAGUUAAAAUGGCUUCUGAGGAACCUGAUCUUGUUGGAAGGAAGGAGCAGGUAGUUCCAACUGGUCUUGAAUCUUCACCUGGUAUGGGUGCAGAUGCAGCAAAUGCUGACAAUGAAACAAGUUCUAAUCAGCUAAAUGAGUUUAUUGAUCCAAAUAGAGAUAUGAAAAACAUACCAAAUGAAGGAAAAAAUUACGGUGCAGCUAUUGAGACAAAGGGAUUAGAUUCAGAGUCCUCUUGCACUCAGAACAGCUUAAACACCUACGUAAAUAAUGAUAAUGAUGUGUGUAUUAAUCCAGAAAACAUUGACUCUAAUGGAAAGCCCGUGGAAGAAGCAUCAAGAAAAGAGGAGUCACUAAACUCAUCUAUUGGUGAAUUGGCAAAAGAAACCAAUGAGAUCAAGGCUGUUGAUAAUGUAGCUGUUGUUCCUGGUAGUAUUACUUCUGUGAAUCAAAAGCACACUCUUAGUGUUUCUAGUAUCAAAGUGGAGGAAGAAAUUAGAUCUGAAUUGCAAAAUGAGCUGACUUGCCCUUCCUACAAUGAGGUGCAACGAAGCAGUCAAGCUGUAUCAGAAGCUGAUAGGAAAAUUAGUUCUGUGCCUGCUGAUAAUUCUAGUUCCAACAAGGAAAUUUUUCCUUCUAGUAAGCCUCUAGGCUCAAUGGAUAAUGCUAUUUGUGAGGUUCCUGAGGUGACUUUGUCUGAAAGAACCUCAACUCCUAUUGCUGAAACUCAAUCUUGUUUGGAUAAUCAUGUGAAAGUGGUGGACAAGGCACAUGAAGAUUCCAUCUUGGAAGAGGCACAGAUUAUAGAGGCUAAGCGGAAAAGGAUUGCUGAGCUAUCUGUUGGUACUUCACCCUGGAAGAAUCACCAAAAAUCUCACUGGGACUUUGUCCUUGAAGAAAUGGCAUGGAUGGCAAAUGAUUUUGCUCAGGAGUGUCUUUGGAAGAUGACGGCUGCUGCUCAAAUAUCUCGACGUGUUGCUUUUACUUCGCGAUUGAAAUUUGAAGAACAACAUCAAUAUUCGGAACUCAAAAAAGUAGCGUUAAGCCUUGCUAAUGCCGUCAUGUACUUUUGGCAUUCAGCAGAGGUGCUUCUAAAUAGGAAAGAUGCAAGUCUUGGCCCAAAGAAAAGUGGCCAUGAUUUAGUGCACUUACCAGCCAAUGAAGUUCCUAAGAACAUGACUGCAAAACUUGAUAUGGAUAUGAAUGAGGACCAGCAGCACUUUGGAAAUAACAGUAAACUUGCUAUUCAGGCAUAUGCUCUUAGAUUUUUGAAAUAUAGCAGCUCCUCUGUUUCCUCACCUCAAGCUGAAGCUCCAGCAACUCCUGACAUGAUAUCUGACUCGGGCAUUAUGGACAUUUCUUGGGAUGAAAACCUAACUGAAGAAAGCCUCUUCUAUGCAGUACCUUUAGGUGCCAUGGAAACCUACCGAAGAUCUAUUGAAUCUUAUUUGAUACAGACUGAGAAAACUGGCAGUAGUAAGCAAGAGGAGGUUGAAAUAUCUGUUUAUGAUGCUGGGGCUGAGUUUGGAUAUGAUGACUUUGUGUGUGAUGAGGAAGAAGGAGAAACAAGUACUUACUAUUUUCCUGGAGCCUUUGAAGAUAGCAAAUCAUCGAAAUUAAACCAGAAAAAGUGGAAGAAAAUAAAAUCAUAUCUUGCAAGACCUUAUGAAAUGGGUGCUUAUUUUCCACAUAGACACUGUGCCCAACAGUCGAUGUUGAUAAGGAAAAGGCCUGCUAGCAGUCUAAAUGUCAAUCCAAUUCCAAUGAAACGUGUGCGUACUGGUUCCAGGCAGAGGGUUUUAAGUCCAUUUAGCAGUGCACCUGCUGCUGGGAGUUUACAAGGUCCAACAAAAACAGAUGCUUCUAGUGGGGAUACUAAUUCUUUUCAGGAUGAUCAGAAUACUUUGAAUGAAGGAUUCCAGAUCCAGAAAAGCAUGGAGGUUGAAUCAAUUAUGGACCUUGAAAGGCAGCUUCCAUACGACAAUGUGGAAACACCGGUAAAACCUACAAAGAAGAAAAAGGCCAAGAAUCUUGGUUCUGCAUACAAUCAGAGUUGGCAACUGGAAUCUACUGUUCACAAUGAGAAGAGGGAUAAUUCCAAAAAGAGACUAGAGAGUCAUUAUUUCGAUUCUUAUGGGACCAGUGAUUUAUAUGGGCAACGUAAUGCCAAGAAGCUGAAGAUAAUGAAGCAACAACCUGAUAAUGCUUUUGACUUCCCUCCAAGUGGAACCAUCCCUUUUCCAGCAGGGUCCCAAAAGACUAAUAUGUCCAACCCCAGCAAAAUCAUUAGAUUAAUUCAUGGUUGUGACAAGGGUAGAAAAGCCAAAACUCACAAGAUGUCUGUCGAUCUGCCUGGUUCUGGUGGUUCAUGGUCACUAUUUGAAGAUCAGGCACUUGUUGUCCUUGUACAUGACAUGGGUCCAAAUUGGGAGCUUGUAAGUGAUGCCAUCAACAGUACCCUUCAAUUUAAGUGCAUAUUCCGCAAGCCUAAAGAAUGUAAGGAACGCCACAAGAUUUUAAUGGAUAGGAAUGGAGAUGGAGCUGACAGUGCUGAUGAUUCUGGUUCUCUGUCAUAUACAUUGCCUGGCAUUCCAAAGGGAAGUGCCAGACAGUUGUUUCAACAUUUGCAAGGACCGAUGGAAGAGGAUAUUCUUAAGUCGCAUUUUGAAAAAAUUAUGCUUAUUGGCAAGAAACAACAGUACCGGCAGAGUCAGGAUCCAAAGCAGAUAGUGCCAGUCCACAAUUCUCAUGUUAUUGCUCUUUCAAAAAUCUGCCCGAAUAACCUAAAUGGAGGAGUUCUAACGCCUCUCGAUCUUUGUGAUGUCAUUGCAUCAAGCCAAGAUGUCGUACCCCUUGGAUAUCAAGCUUCUCAUGCUGGUGGUUUAGCAAUAUCAAAUCAAGGAGUUGUCGGAUCAAUGCCUCCUGCCUCUGGAGCAAAUUCAUCACUGCAGGGAUCUUCUGGAGUGGUUCAUGGCAGUAAUAUAUCAUCAGCGUCUACCCCACUUAAUGGAUCCGUGAGGAAUAUGCAGCAGUCCAACUUAUCUCUACCUGGAGUUGUUUCCGGAUCAGAUCAUGGGGUUCGCAUGGUACCCAAUAGAAAUGGUGUGGGCAUGACAUGUGGGAUAAGUAGAAGCAUGUCUAUGUCAAGGCCAGGCUUACGAGGAAUGGCAUCAUCAACAAUGCUGAAUUCCAGCUGCAUGCUCUCCAGUUUGGUGGGAAUGCCAAACCCUGUAAAUAUGCACUCUGGACCUGGUUCUGUUCGUGGAAACUUGAUGUUGAGGCCUCAUGACACUAUGCAUAUGAUGCGAGAACAAGGGAACAUCCAGGGAAUUCCUGCGUUCAAUGGGUUGAGUUCUGCUUACACUAAUCAAUCAGCUGCACCACCUGUUUCUUCAUAUCCAGUUCAACCCCAGAAGCAGCAGCAGCAAAUGCCUCCACAGCAAUCCCAUGCACUGAGCAACUCUCAUAACGCUCAUCAUCAGGGCUACAAUCAUGUUUCUGGGUCACAGCAACAAGCAUAUGCCAUGUGCCUCACUAAAGAAAGGCAAGUGCAGCAGCAGCAGCAGCUUAUGCAUCAGCAACAGCCACAGCAACAGUUUGCUGUAUCUAGUGCAUUGAUGCCAAAUGUCCAACAUCAGACCCAACUUCCCAUAUCUUCUCUGCAGAAUGGUUCCCAGAUUCAAUCUCAGGCUUCUACUCAGCCAGGUUCGCUAUCCCCUCUAACACCGUCUUCACCAACGACUCCUAUGUCAUUGCAGCAACAACAUAAAUACCAAUUGGCACCUCAUGGGCUUGGUAGGAACCCCCAACCUGGUGCUAGUGGUUUGAACAAACAGAUAGGCAAGCAACGGCAGCCCCAGCAGCAGCAGCAAUUUCAACAAUCUGGCAGGCACCACCCUCAGCAACGUCAACAAACACAGUCUCAACAGCAAGCCAAACUUUCGAAGGGAGUGGGAAGAGGGAACAUGCUGGUGCAUCAGAAUCCUUCUGUUGAUCCUGCUCAUCUUAAUAGCCUUGGCGUGGUCCCUGGCAACCAAGCUGCCAAGAACAGAGAGCAGAUGAUGCACUUGAUUCAAGGUAAAGGCUUGUGUUCUAGGUCUGGUUUGAGUCCUGUCCAACAAUCUAAAGCUCUCGUUUCUUCUCAAUCUUCAAAUUGUUCUGAGCCGCAGCAAAAGAUAUUUCCUGGGGCUGCAGCCCCUUCUACAAAGAAACUGCAACAAGUGGCUUCCCAUUCUGAUAAUAUUUCUCAAAUGGUGCCUUCUGAUCAUACGCCAUCAGCUGUGCAUCAAUCCUUCCUGCCAGCAGCCAUGGGUCCAAACCACCAGCAUUCACUGCUACAAUCACAAACACACCAAAAGCAGGCUAAUCAAAACAGACCUGCUGUUCAUAGGAUGCUUCAACAGAGUCAACAAGUAAAUUUUGAGCCUCCGAACAAAUCUCAAGUUGAGCUAGGCCAUGCUGACAAACAGACCUUGAACAGUGCUCCACAGAUGGGUACAACCACAACCAUGGAAAUGCCCCAGGCUGUCAUUGAUUCAGCUAACAAUGCAGUCUCAGUUGUUUCUCCUGCUGGACUUCAGUGGAAAUCACCAGAACCAGAGUAUGGUCCUGCUAUGCCAAAUGUGGCCACUGAAGUUGGAUCCAUAGGGAGCCCUCUUACAGAUUCAAUGGGUAAUGAUCCUGUACCUUCUGUCAGCCAAGGGUCAGGGCAGAGACAAUUAUCGGGUUGCUUACCCCCUGACAAGAAUAACGUUGGGGCACAGUGGAUGCAACAGCCACAGACACAACGAUCUCAUAUAUCACCACCUACUCAACAACACUUCCAAUCACAAGAGCAGUCACAACAAGAUUAGCAUAAUUCUUCCCAGCAGCUGCCAUCGCAGCAGUAGUCACUAAUAACAACAGCAAAGCCUGAUUCUGCAAGCAGUGCAGGGCAGCCUGUAUUACAAGCCUUUUAAUUUUAAGAUGGAAUGAAGCAAUCUAGUGAUGAUGCAGUUCCAACAGCAGUGGGUCUUGCUAUGAUUGGUAUGGAAGCCCUUGUAACCCCAGUGUACAGAUGAUGUUGGUUAUUCCAUCCAUUUGGGUGUAGCAGUGUCUGAAACCGGAGGUUGCUAUUUGCAGCAGGUUAGAAAUUCAAAGGGAAAGAAUGGACCGGUUUGUUCCUAGUUUUGUUUUAAUUAAUUUUUGGAGGGUUGGGGGAAAAGGGGGAGGAUUGUGUAUAUUACAGUUGAACAGAGAGUUAGGAAGAUGGAGACAGAUAGAUAGAUAUAGAGGCAUUUGUAGAUAGGUCUUAUCUCCCAUUUCUUUCUUCCCGUCUUUUCCAUGGUCUAUCUGCUGAUGUGGCUAGGGGGCUAUUUCUUUUUUUUUUUUUUUUGUUGGCAGUAGAUAAAAAAGUGCAUGUAUUCUAUAGGGCUUACAGAUGAAACCAGAUAGCAAUGAUUCUUAUGGGCAAAAAAGGCUUAGGAAAUUUAAUUUUGUGAAUAUUAUUAGAAUGAGACUGCACUGCCAGUGUCCAGGUUAGAGAGCACGCAAUGAAUUCAUUGUAGUAAUUAUAUUUUUACAGUCAGAUUUUUCAUAAAUUCAAACUGAUUCCUUUCCAUUUCCUGCUGUGUUGAUGAAUGAUUGUUUGAUAUGUUUCCAAAUUAAGCUGGGACGGAGAACCCUUUUAAAGCUGUAUUUCCAAAUCUUUGAUCCUUUUGAUGAAAGAGAAGGGUAGGAAACUGCCUGAGCAGCUGACUUCCUCAAAAGAACAUAAAUUUAUAUGGUGUCGAAGGUGCCAAUGUUUCUUGUGCGGAUCGUGCAGACAUAAACAGUCAGAAUAAAAGCGAGGAAAACAAAGUUUCAUCAUUGAUGAUGUCAUAUGGGAAACUCUUUUGAAUCUUCUAAAUCAUUUACCACCUAAAAUGGCAGUAAAUGAAAAGGUGGAGAAGAAAUACGAUUUGUGAUAUAUGAAGAAAAAGGAAGAAAUUCACCCACGGUAUGCUGUCAAUAAAUAAAGAGAAACAUGAAAUAGGGGGACCAAAUGUGGACAGUUCAUAAAAUGCUCCAUGAGGGCGCUUGGUUGGAGGAAGAAGGGCCCGUCCCGUGUCAUUGAGAGUUCUUGGUGGGACCCAAGCAAUGGUGGUUAUAAAAUCAUGAGGAUGUAAUAGAAAUAGACAUGAAAGAAUUGUCUUUUGAUCCUAGAAGCAACAAAUCACUGAGGGCCAAGGAAAUCAUACAUUUCCAUUUUGCUUGUUAUUAGCUGAGGGAGAAUGAGAAGAAAUUUCUUAGGUUAUUAUUAUUAUUAUUAUUAUUUUGCAUUUAUAUUUUGUUUUAA